rnacentral:rRNA from 1 species
GACGGAGCUACUUUUUCGGAAGUUUUCGGAUGGAAGAGGAAGUAGCUUAGUGGCGAACGGGUGAGUAACACGUGAGGAACCUGCCUUAAAGAGGGGGACAACAGUUGGAAACGACUGCUAAUACCGCAUAAGCCCACGGUGCCGCAUGGCACAGGGGGAAAAGGAGAAAUCCGCUUUAAGAUGGACUCGCGUCCAAUUAGCUAGAUGGUGAGGUAAAGGCUCACCAUGGCGACGAUUGGUAGCCGGACUGAGAGGUUGAACGGCCACAUUGGGACUGAGACACGGCCCAGACUCCUACGGGAGGCAGCAGUGGGGAAUAUUGCACAAUGGGGGAAACCCUGAUGCAGCGACGCCGCGUGGAGGAGGAAGGUUUUCGGAUUGUAAACUCCUGUCUUCGGGGACGAUAAUGACGGUACCCGAGGAGGAAGCCACGGCUAACUACGUGCCAGCAGCCGCGGUAAAACGUAGGUGGCAAGCGUUGUCCGGAAUUACUGGGUGUAAAGGGAGCGCAGGCGGGUCGGUAAGUUGGGAGUGAAAACUAUGGGCUCAACCCAUAAAUUGCUUUCAAAACUGCUGAUCUUGAGUGGUGUAGAGGUAGGCGGAAUUCCCGGUGUAGCGGUGGAAUGCGUAGAUAUCGGGAGGAACACCAGUGGCGAAGGCGGCCUACUGGGCACUAACUGACGCU